AAGUGGCGGCUUGCCUACACAUGCAGUCGCACGUCCUGCCUGGUUUCGGCCAAGCAGGGAGUGGCGGACGCGUGAGUAACACAUGGGUGACCUACCUCCCAGUGAGGAAUACCGGCGAGAAAUCGCCGACAAGACCGCAUACGCUCUGCCUGCUGCGGCGGGCCGAGCAAAGUCGCAAGACGCUGGGAGAUGGGCCUGUGGCCGAUUAGCUCGUUGGUGGGGUAAGGGCUCACCAAGGCGACGAUCGGUAGCUGGUCUGAGAGGACGAUCAGCCACACUGGGAUUGAGAACGGCCCAGACUCCUACGGGGGGCAGCAGUGAGGAAUUUUCCGCAAUGGACGCAAGUCUGACGGAGCAACGCCGCGUGCAGGAGGACGCUUCUCGGAGUG
rnacentral:rRNA from 1 species